rnacentral:rRNA from 1 species
UACGUAGGGUGCGAGCGUUUGUCCGGAAUUAUUGGGCGUAAAGGGCUCGUAGGCGGUUUGUCGCGUCGGGAGUGAAAACACCGGGCUUAACUCGGUGCUUGCUUUCGAUACGGGCAGACUAGAGGCAUGCAGGGGAGAACGGAAUUCCUGGUGUAGCGGUGGAAAUGCGCAGAUAUCAGGAGGAACACCGGUGGCGAAGGCGGUUCUCUGGGCAUUACCUGACGCUGAGGAGCGAAAGUGUGGGGAGCGAACAGG